rnacentral:rRNA from 1 species
CAUUACAGAGUUGAAAAACUCCAACCCCUGUGAACAUACCUUUACUGUUGCUUCGGCGGACGAUGGUCCCCCCCGGGGGGCCGGACGCCGCCGGAGGUUACAAACCCUGAAUUUUAGUGUAUCUCUGAGUACAAAACCAAAUAAUUAAAACUUUCAACAACGGAUCUCUUGGUUCUGGCAUCGAUGAAGAACGCAGCGAAAUGCGAUAAGUAAUGUGAAUUGCAGAAUUCAGUGAAUCAUCGAAUCUUUGAACGCACAUUGCGCCCGCCGGUAUUCCGGCGGGCAUGCCUGUCCGAGCGUCAUUUCACCACUCAAGCCCAGCUUGGUGUUGGGGCACCCGGCCGCCCGGCGGUCGGGGCCCCCAAGAACAUCGGCGGUCUCGCUAGGACCCUGAACGCAGUAACUCGCGGUAAAACGCGCUUCGUUCGGUGGCUUCCCGGCGGGCUCCAGCCGCUAAACCCCCUAAACUUUUUAGGUUGACCUCGGAUCAGGUAGGAAUACCCGCUGAACUUAAGCAUAUCAAUAAGCGGAGGAAAAGAAACCAACAGGGAUUGCCCUAGUAACGGCGAGUGAAGCGGCAACAGCUCAAAUUUGAAAUCUGGCCCCAGGCCCGAGUUGUAAUUUGCAGAGGAUGCUUUUGGCAAAGCGCUUACCGAGUCCCCUGGAACGGGGCGCCACAGAGGGUGAGAGCCCCGUAUGGUAGGACGCCGAGCCUCUGUAAAGCUCCUUCGACGAGUCGAGUAGUUUGGGAAUGCUGCUCUAAAUGGGAGGUAAAUUUCUUCU